rnacentral:rRNA from 1 species
GUCUGAUGCAGCAACGCCGCGUGGAGGAUGACACAUUUCGGUGCGUAAACUCCUUUUAUAUGAGAAGAUAAUGACGGUAUUAUAUGAAUAAGCACCGGCUAACUCCGUGCCAGCAGCCGCGGUAAUACGGGGGGUGCAAGCGUUACUCGGAAUCACUGGGCGUAAAGAGCAUGUAGGCGGAUUAAUAAGUUUGAAGUGAAAUCCUAUAGCUUAACUAUAGAACUGCUUUGAAAACUGUUAAUCUAGAAUGUGGGAGAGGUAGAUGGAAUUUCUGGUGUAGGGGUAAAAUCCGUAGAGAUCAGAAGGAAUACCGAUUGCGAAGGCGAUCUACUGGAACAUUAUUGACGCUGAGAUGCGAAAGCGUGGGGAGCAAACAGGAUUAGAUACCCUGGUAGUCCACGCCCUAAACGAUGUACACUAGUUGUUGUGAGACUUGAUCUUGCAGUAAUGCAGUUAACACAUUAAGUGUACCGCCUGGGGAGUACGGUCGCAAGAUUAAAACUCAAAGGAAUAGACGGGGACCCGCACAAGCGGUGGAGCAUGUGGUUUAAUUCGACGAUACACGAAGAACCUUACCUGGACUUGACAUAGUAAGAACUUUCUAGAGAUAGAUUGGUGUCUGCUUGCAGAAACUUAUAUACAGGUGCUGCACGGCUGUCGUCAGCUCGUGUCGUGAGAUGUUGGGUUAAGUCCCGCAACGAGCGCAACCCUCGUGUUUAGUUGCUAACAGUUCGGCUGAGAACUCUAAACAGACUGCCUA